UAUCUAAAAAAUGACAUUUUAACGUCAUUAAGUUAUCCAUUUCCUUUUUAAAAAUUUAAUUUUUUCUUAGUAGUUUUCCAAAAUAUAAGUAGAAAUAUUGCCACAACUUUGAAAUUGUUGAAAUGGAAUUCAAAAGCGUCGGAGAUAUGUGCGAUGUUAUAUCGCAUGUGGUUUUCUGUCCAGAUGACGGUACAAUGAUGGUAACUUCCGCCAAUAAGGAACUUUGGAUACCAUCAGUAAAAGUCACUGGAGCAUCAAGUUGGGAGAGCAUGUCCAACAACGAAUUAAAAAAUCUCCUAGGAAGUGUCACUAUCUCAUCUGAACGACUGACAUGCCUAUCAAAAGUAACUAUCCCCGAUUUAUCGGCAUCGACAUUUUACCAUUGUGUUCUAGAAAUCAAACUUAAAUCCGACGCAAAGAAGAAAAUUAAAACCACCAGUUCAAAGUAUCAAGGACAAAUAAGGUGGCUAAGAGAUAAAGAAAUAUUACAGUAUCUGUACUCGGAUAAUGUAUUAAGUCCUGAACUAGUGGAAUUUUGUCAACUGGCAAAGAGCUCAAAGAAUGACACUUCAUUUCCUGAUGGUGGAGAAGCACUGACAUUCAGGGCUAAUGAAUACCAUUACAAGGGAAUACUUUCUGAAAUAAAUGCGGAUACAUUGGUGACGUUGUCCGGUCAAACCCCUUACGAAUCGCUUGUUGAAGCAGCUUCAUUUACCAAAGAAGUGCAAACAACACUACUCAAAUUAUUUAUACUCUUCUGCUUUCCUGCCUUGUACAUGUGCCAAAGGAUUUUUACCAAAUUAAUGAGCGAACUUGGCUGGCCUGCAGAUGAAAUCACUUUCUUAUUCAGAGCUGCUGACACGAAUGGUCGAUCAGCUUUAUCCUUUCGGGACUUUCUGUACAUUUUAGCUGCUAUUGAACCUGGAACAAUACAUGGAGGCGGAGCUGCUGAAAUUCGGUGUAAAUUCAUAUUUCGAUAUUAUGACAGAGAUCGAGAUAACGUAUUAAGUCCUACCGAAUUUAAAUUAAUAAUAAGCGCAAGUAGAAAACUGAAAAGGCUACCAAUUGAUGCUGCAAGUGUGAAACAAGAAGCUGACUCUAUUUUAAAAACCAUCGGUUUGGGAGAAACCAGCAACGUAACAAUAGCUCAAUUUUUAAAAUGUGUCAGCGAUUUAAAGUUCCGUGGAACUUCGCAAUUGUUUCGUUUACAAAACAGCAUAAACGCCUACAUAAAGAAUCAGGGAACUAAAUUACAGGGCAACAUAAGUUCAAGUCCUGCAUUUUAUUCUAAAAAUACCGGUAACACAGCAGGAAAAGUCGCCGGACCAGUUCCUACCAUCGAAUACGUGUUUGCUCAACAUUCUCUCCGAAUCCUAGAAGGUGGAACUGAAAUCAACAUCCAGCAGUUAACUGAUAUCGAUACCGGUGUAUCAGCAUCAAGUACAGGAAUUGUCGGUAGUAAUGCCUCGAGACGCAUGUCACUUGAUCAAUUCAAUCAACAAUCGCUAACGAACGAGCUCAUAAAGUCGUUAAGAUUCCUGGCAUAUAACAACAAGAAAAAAUACGAACCGCUAAAACUAGCAAAAACAUUUCCUGACUACAAUUGGGGACCCGUGGAUCCGAGCGUUUUUUGCAGACAGCUGUCGCAAGUUUGUGAUUCGGUUAAGAAAAUUUUACGAGAAGAGAAGCGAAUGAUUUCUCUAACGUCACCUAUAUAUGUUUUAGGCGAUUUACAUGGAAAUUUUCCUGUGUUAUUGGAAUUUGAAAAAAGUUUUUGGUGUUUUGGACCCGCAUUAUGCCCUUGUAGUUUAUUGUUCCUUGGAGACUAUGUUGACAGAGGAGUAUGGAGUAUCGAAGUUAUAACAUACCUGUUAUGUUUUAAAGCGCAAUUUCCAGACAAAAUUUUUCUCAUUAGAGGCAAUCAUGAAGUAAGAGAAGUCCAAAAAUCGUUUUCUUUUUAUGAAGAAUGUAAUAAGAAAUUUGGCGAAAAACUUGGCCCAUCCGUAUGGAACCUCGUAAAUACUGUAUUUGAUGUCAUGCCAUUGGCUGCCACAAUAGAUGGUCAGGUAUAUACCAAAAUAACUUUACAGAUUAGUUAUUUUGUUGCCAUGGUGGAAUUCCACCCCCGUGGCUAUGUCCAACAAUAUCUGCCCUGUACAAGAUUCCCAUCGAACUGAGUAAACCCGCUGAGCAAAGUUCGCUAGCUUGGGAAUUAAUGUGGAACGACCCUGUAAAGCAGAACAGUCUAAAUGAGCAAGUUGCCAUGGAAUUGAUGGCCAAUGAAGGUUUUGCUAACAAUAAAAAACGAGGUACGGCACAUAUCU
rnacentral:misc_RNA from 1 species